GUUUGGAAUGAUAGGACGAGUCUGUGAAGUUGAGGAAUGAUUGUUUGCUAUCUUUAUCCUUUUGAGACCCUUUUUAAAGCAUUAAUAUGAUAUUGGACGCUAUAACCCACGUUGCCCAGCAUGAAAUUGUGCAGCCUCCCUAAAACUGUGUUUUUGUAUUUUCCAUUUAUUUAUUUUCAGUUUUCGCACCAAUAAAGGCAUGGGUUACUCUGCACACUUUGUGGGUGGAUGUUUGAUAGUGACCUCAUUAAAAACGAAGGGGAAAGGAUUCCAGCACUGUGUAAAGUACGACUUCAAACCACAGAAGUGGUAUAUGGUGACUCUCGUUCACGUCUACAACCGCUG